rnacentral:rRNA from 1 species
GACGAACGCUGGCGGCGUGCUUAACACAUGCAAGUCGAACGGAAAGGCCCUGCUUGCAGGGUACUCGAGUGGCGAACGGGUGAGUAACACGUGGGUGAUCUGCCCUGCACUUCGGGAUAAGCUUGGAAACUGGGUCUAAUACCGGAUAGGACCGCACUUUAGUGUGUGUGGUGGAAAGUUUUUUCGGUGUAGGAUGAGCUCGCGGCCUAUCAGCUUGUUGGUGGGGUAAUGGCCUACCAAGGCGGCGACGGGUAGCCGGCCUGAGAGGGUGUACGGCCACAUUGGGACUGAGAUACGGCCCAGACUCCUACGGGAGGCAGCAAUGGGGAAUAUUGCACAAUGGGCGCAAGCCUGAUGCAGCGACGCCGCGUGGGGGAUGAAGGCCUUCGGGUUGUAAACUCCUUUCGCUAGGGACGAAGCUUUGUUGUGACGGUACCUAGAUAAGAAGCACCGGCUAACUACGUG